UGAACGCUAGCGACAGGCCAACACAUGCAAGUCAGGGGCAGCACAAGGAGCAAUCUGAGGUGGCGACCGGCGCACGGGUGAGUAACACGUAUGCAACCUGCCUGUAAGCGGGGAAUAACCCGUUGAAAGACGGACUAAUACCGCAUAAUACUAAAUUACUGCAUGGUAAUUUAUUUAAACAUUUAUGGCUUACAGAUGGGCAUGCGCAUGAUUAGCUAGUUGGAGAGGUAACGGCUCCCCAAGGCAACGAUCAUUAGGGGUUCUGAGAGGAAGGUCCCCCACACUGGUACUGAGACACGGACCAGACUCCUACGGGAGGCAGCAGUGAGGAAUAUUGGUCAAUGGACGAGAGUCUGAACCAGCCAAGUCGCGUGCAGGAAGAAUGUCCCUAUGGAUUGUAAACUGCUUUUGCAGGGGAAUAAAGUGCAUCACGUGUGAUGUUUUGUAUGUACUCUGCGAAUAAGGAUCGGCUAACUCCGUGCCAGCAGCGGC
rnacentral:rRNA from 1 species